rnacentral:rRNA from 1 species
GACGAACGCUGGCGGCGUGCUUAACACAUGCAAGUCGAACGGAAAGGCCCAGCUUGCUGGGUGCUCGAGUGGCGAACGGGUGAGUAACACGUGGGUGAUCUGCCUCUAACUUCGGGAUAAGCUUGGGAAACUGGGUCUAAUACCGGAUAGGACAAUCGUUUAGUGUCGGUUGUGGAAAGUUUUUUCGGUUAGGGAUGAGCCCGCGGCCUAUCAGCUUGUUGGUGGGGUAAUGGCCUACCAAGGCGUCGACGGGUAGCCGGCCUGAGAGGGUGGACGGCCACAUUGGGACUGAGAUACGGCCCAGACUCCUACGGGAGGCAGCAGUGGGGAAUAUUGCACAAUGGGCGCAAGCCUGAUGCAGCGACGCCGCGUGGGGGAUGACGGCCUUCGGGUUGUAAACCUCUUUCGACAGGGACGAAGCUUUGGUGACGGUACCUGUAUAAGAAGCACCGGCUAACUACGUG